CCCUUAGAUGUUCUGGGCCGCACGCGUGCUACACUGAGUGGAUCAACGGGUCAGGUUACGCGAGAGCGUUUCCUAAUCUUCAAAUCCGCUCGUGAUGGGGAUUGACGGUUGCAAUUUUCCGUCAUGAACGAGGAAUACCUUGUAAGCGCGGGUCAUCAUCCCGCGCUGAAUACGUCCCUGCCCUUUGUACACACCGCCCGUCGCUCCUACCGAUUGAGUGGUCCGGUGAGGCUUUGGGAUCUAAGCGAAAAGAGCGUUUCGCUCCUUUUGCUGGGAGAACUCAGUCGAACCUUAUCAUUUAGAGGAAGGAGAAGUCGUAACA
rnacentral:rRNA from 1 species